rnacentral:lncRNA from 1 species
UUAUUCUGUUCCUGUUCCUCCACCUUGUCCGGGUUCAACCCUUUUGUUAUAUUUUCUCUCAACAUAUCAUCAUGUCUCUAACCCUUAAACUCCACUUCAACCUUCACCACCACCACCACAACCAUGCAAACAAAAACACCAUCAUAAACAAUACCAACUACAACACUUGUUUUUCUAACAAGAUUCAACCAAAAACCAUUUACAACACCAACCCUUUGAUCAUAACCACACGUAAACUUGAUUCAAGAGUAAUGCAAGGUGACUGUUGCAACAUGAUUAUCAAGAGUUCUUUGAUAGAACCUGAUGGUGGGUCAUUGGUGGAUCUUGUAGUGGGAGAAAGAGAGAGAGGUUUGAAGAGGGUAGAAGCUGAAUCACUUCCAAAGGUGAAGCUUUCAAAGAUUGAUGUUGAAUGGGUGCAUGUGAUAGGUGAAGGUUGGGCUAGUCCUUUAAGAGGGUUUAUGAGAGAAGAUGAGUAUUUGCAGUGUUUGCAUUUCAAUUCAUUGAGGUUGAAGAAUGGUUCUUUGGUGAAUAUGUCUCUUCCUAUUGUGUUGGCUAUUGAUGAUGAGAGUAAAGGGAGAAUUGGGUCUUGUUCAAAUGUUGGGUUGAUUGGUCCUGAUGGAGAUCUUGUUGCAAUUCUUAGAAGGUUGGUGGAUUUUUUAUGGUUGGUGUGCUUCAUUUAAAAUGGUCAUAGAUUAUAUUUAAUUAGGUCUAUGGUCGAAUUCAGGUUCAAAAGCUAGCUCGGUCGGGUAAGGAACAAACAUUACUCGACCCAAUUCACCUCAUAUUCAAUUUGGGAAAAGCCCAUGGGCCCGCCCGCAUUUAUUGGGCGGGCAAGACAUGCAAAUUAUGUUCAUUCACCCUAAAAUGUCCGCCUAUGUCCUAUUCGCUCGCAAACAUUUCCAAUGGGCAAAAUGGGGUGGCCCAUUCACAUUAUUAGAUAAAAUAUUGAACAUCAAAUAUAAAAGUAUAUGUAUUUUGUUAAAUAUGAGAAAAUUUGUUCUAUUUGUUAUAUAAACAUUUGUAUAUCAAAUGUAAGAAAAUACUAUCAUUUUCUUAUUAUUUAUAUGCAUUUGUAUUUUGUAUAUUAUAUUGUACUAUUCCUUUUGAAUUUUGUAUGAAAUUAUAUAAUAUGUAUAUUUUAUAUUAUAUAUUACAAAUAUAUAUCAUAUUUUCGUAUGUGAAAUAUAUAUUGUUUAUUUUGUAAGAAGUAUAUAUAAAUUUGUAUAUAUAUUUUUUUAGUUUUAUUUAGGGCAGUUCACAAGUCUGCCAUGCCCAUGUUUAGGGCGGGUAUGACAUGAUAUUUUAUGCCCUAAUUUAAAAACGGGUAUGUCAUGUCUGCCCUAUUUAAAAACGGGCAUGCCAUGUCCGUCCUAAUUUAAAUAGGUAUUGCGUGGACAUGUGUAGCGCGACCUUAAUUACGAAUAAUACUCACCCCUAUUAGAACUAAGUACCAGUAGUUUUUAAUUCAUACUAAAAUUAUUAAAUAUAAGCAUUAUAAAAAUCCUUUACAAUGUCUACUGCAAACGAGUUGAACCUGAGCUAAGCUCGAUUCCAUUCAAUGUAAAUUUAUCGGCUCAAAACUUGACUCGAUUUCGAAACGAGUUAGUUAUGUUUCUAGCUCGAACUCGACUCGAUUGAAAUUCAUAACUAUUCAAUUGACUCGUCAGUUCAAAUUGCUUUGGUUCAUCAAAAGUUUGCGAACUUUUUAGUUUAACUCAUUAGCUAGAAUUGUUUAUUAUGUGAGCUCGAAUGAUAAUAUUUAUUUAACAUAUAUAAAUUUAUAGCUUUUCUAUAUACACACUUAUAUAAAUUAUGUUUUUAACAAGUGUAAUUUUUUAUUCAAGUUUAAUUCGUGUAACUUAUGAAUAAAAUUUAUCAAACUAAAUAAGAAAUUAAAUUUCAAAAGAAUAUUGGUUUGAUUUAUUUGUAGUUUCUCUUAACAUAAAUGAUAAUUAAAUUUGGAGGGAGACUCCACCUUGAUGAGGUUCCACUUUGAAUGAUUCAGUGAUUGAGUUUGAUGCUGUGUUCAACAAUGAAUGGUUCUACCUUCUUCCCUUUUAUCUUUAUGGUCCUAUAUUUUGCAUCUUUAAUUUGGUGCAUGUAUUUCCACCCUUUUCUCAUCCACAUACUCAUUCAUGUGGCUUCUAUCAUUCCAACAUAUUCCCAUAUUCAUACCUUUUUCAAUUCAUAAUAACCAAACUUUUAAAUAAAAACUUCUAAAAUCUUAAAAGUUUUUUUUAUACUACUAAUGAUAUAUCUUUAACUUCGGGUAAUAAACUAAUCAUUCUGGGAUGUGUGUCUACCCCUCCUAACAAAUAUCGCUCAUAUGAAUUGAAUUUUUAACAUUUAUGUGGCUAUACUUCGUGAUACAUUUUACACAACUCCUAAAAUUUUGACAAAUCUUUUAUAUCCCUUAUUAUCAACCAUUUUCUUUACAAAAAAAUAUUUACAUUAUUAAAAAUUGUCAUAUCAAUUCCGAAAGCCAUUUAACCGUAUAAAAUAAAAUUAAUAGAUAAGAUGAUUGUUUAUUAUCGUAUGAAUAAAUCUAUUGUUUCAAAUCAUGUCCCGCACCAAUACAUAUCAAUACCCAAAGCCAUUAACCAUAUAAAAUAAAAUAACAGAUAAGAUAAUGGUUUAUUGUCUGCGAAAAAGUGAAACAAAUGUACUAUUCUAAACUAUAUUCCAUACCAAUGACAUCGAAACAAAAAAAAUUAAAUUUUUUUAAUUAAUAUAACAAUGUUUUAGAUAACCAAUCUCUUUAAAGAUUUCCAUUUGUUAUUUAGUACUAUAGAAUGUUGUGUUGUUAUUCUGUUCCUGUUCCUCCACCUUGUCCGGGUUCAACCCUUUUGUUAUAUUUUCUCUCAACAUAUCAUCAUGUCUCUAACCCUUAAACUCCACUUCAACCUUCACCACCACCACCACAACCAUGCAAACAAAAACACCAUCAUAAACAAUACCAACUACAACACUUGUUUUUCUAACAAGAUUCAACCAAAAACCAUUUACAACACCAACCCUUUGAUCAUAACCACACGUAAACUUGAUUCAAGAGUAAUGCAAGGUGACUGUUGCAACAUGAUUAUCAAGAGUUCUUUGAUAGAACCUGAUGGUGGGUCAUUGGUGGAUCUUGUAGUGGGAGAAAGAGAGAGAGGUUUGAAGAGGGUAGAAGCUGAAUCACUUCCAAAGGUGAAGCUUUCAAAGAUUGAUGUUGAAUGGGUGCAUGUGAUAGGUG